UACGGAGGGUGCGAGCGUUGUCCGGAAUCACUGGGCGUAAAGGGCGCGUAGGCGGCCUGAUAAGUAGGGGGUGAAAUCCUGCGGCUUAACCGCAGGGCUGCCUUCUAAACUGUCGGGCUAGAGCACGGUAGAGGCAGAUGGAAUUCCCGGUGUAGCGGUGGAAUGCGUAGAGAUCGGGAAGAACAUCAGUGGCGAAGGCGGUCUGCUGGGCCGUUGCUGACGCUGAGGCGCGCAGCGUGG
rnacentral:rRNA from 1 species